AGUUCAUCGUCGAUCCGUCGUCCCAUGCCCUCCUCAGAGACAGACCACGCCACAGAAGCCGCUAAAAUGGUGUUUUCGAGAUGUUUUAAGAGGGGCAGGUAGACACUUGAUGACAAUCAACGCAAAGGCACAAGGUCACUGUCAAGAUAAAGGAGAAAUGGCAUGUGUACUCCA